GAACGCUGGCGGCAGGCUUAACACAUGCAAGUCGAGCGGUAACAGGGGGUGCUUGCACCCCGCUGACGAGCGGCGGACGGGUGAGUAAUGCUUAGGAAUCUGCCCAGUAGUGGGGGAUAGCCCGGGGAAACCCGGAUUAAUACCGCAUACGUCCUACGGGAGAAAGCAGGGGAUCUUCGGACCUUGCGCUAUUGGAUGAGCCUAAGUCGGAUUAGCUAGUUGGUGGGGUAAAGGCCUACCAAGGCGACGAUCCGUAGCUGGUUUGAGAGGAUGAUCAGCCACAUCGGGACUGAGACACGGCCCGAACUCCUACGGGAGGCAGCAGUGGGGAAUAUUGGACAAUGGGGGCAACCCUGAUCCAGCCAUGCCGCGUGUGUGAAGAAGGCUUUCGGGUUGUAAAGCACUUUCAGUGAGGAGGAAAACCUUACGGUUAAUAACCGUGAGGCUUGACGUUACUCACAGAAGAAGCACCGGCUAACUCCGUGCCAGCAGCCGCGGUAAUACGGAGGGUGCAAGCGUUAAUCGGAAUUACUGGGCGUAAAGCGCGCGUAGGUGGUUCGAUAAGCGGGAUGUGAAAGCCCCGGGCUUAACCUGGGAACGGCAUUCCGAACUGUCGGGCUAGAGUAU
rnacentral:rRNA from 1 species